UAUUCCUUGCUGUUUUCUUUAUGGAUUGUAAAACCAUUUGAUUUAUCAAUGGAAGGUUUAACAGCAAGUCAUAAAUGAAGACAGCAUUGUAAAUUUGAAUAGGAUGUUGUUGAAGGCAAAGGUGACAAUUGGUCUCAUGCUGAUCAAUGCCUGUUUGAAUGUUGUAUUGCUGAUAAACCAGACAGACAUGCUGGAAAAGUUAGAGAGGGAAUACACAAAUCACACUAUUUCUUUAUCCCGAAACACGUCAUCAUACAAAUGGAACUUGUUUUUCCUCACGCAUCAAUGCUGCGCAGUAAAGCCUGUGAUGAGUACAAAAAAUGAUUUUGAUAAUACUCCGUGGUGUACAACUUCAGGAUCGUGUCAGCAGACAAACUCACAGAUUCCAAAAGCUUGUUGUAAAUAUGUUACCAUAGAUAAUUACACCUCUGCUGAAUCUAGAUGUCAUGAGUAUGUGGAAUCAGGGACGUAUCACAAAGAGGGCUGUGCGUCUCCUUGGAAUGACAACUCACACUUCUCAUCAAUAUAGCAGAAGAAAGACGACAUGUAUAAAAUAGAAAUUAUUGGAAAUACACUUCAAUUUGUUUCUUUUGGAACAUCACUUGUCACAAUCCUUGUGAUAUAUUACUGGCUACAUUUGUAAAAAUAGAAGUGUCAUCUUAAGAAAGAACUAAAAAAAGAAUUUUGAAACAGUUAUAGAACAAUUGUAAAUUUCUAAAGACUUUAAGUUCUAAAGACAAUAUGCAUUCCAGACUCUAGUUGAAUGAUGAUAGGGGAAAAGAUAUUGUAACCUCAUUUGAAUUUAUAUAGUUUAUAGUUAAGUCUAAUGUUGAAUAACCUUUUUUCUACAAAUUGUUACCCGUUAUUUUUACACUGAAUUGUUUCCGGAUUUUUCCAUUUACCCGAUCAUGACAAGGAGUGACCUGUGGACAGGGAAAGCUCUUGCAUUGCACCAGUUCCCAACUCUUAUGUUUUAGAGGUCCGUGUGAUAUGUAUUAUUUCAAUGAACUUUUGAGCUUUCAUCACUGUUCGUUAUCUUCAUAUUUCAUUAAUCUUAAUAUAACGAUUGUUCUAAUUCAUUCUAGUAGUAUCAUGAAAUUUUCAUUUUUUGUUUUUUUUUUUUUUUAAUUUAUACUUAUGCUUGUGAAAAAGUGUAUCAUAUUUUCAAUUAUUUUGAAAUGUUAUCUAGAAAUAAACAGCUUUAUUAUUUCUAUUCUUAGUGUAGUGCUAGCAGGUGUAAAAUGCAUAGGCUGCCUUUCUGUUAAAUUUUAUACAGCGAAAUUGUAUUACCUGUGAUAUAGGUAUUGUGUAUAAAAUGCUAGGAGGUAUGAAAAUUGCAAGAUAUUUUUUAUCAUUUAUCUAGACUGAGUUUUAAUGGUUAUUGGUUAAAUAAUUUUAGGAAUAACUUUUUUUGUUUCAUUUUAUUUAUAUCUAGACUGAGUUUUAAUGGUUAUUGGUUAAAUAAUUUUAGGAAUAACUUUUUUUGUUUCAUGAUAUGUUUACGGAAAUGGCUUGCGUGAUAAAUUUACAUAAACGCCGAAGGCGUUUGUUCAUAAAACUAUCCCGGUAUCCUGGAAGCCAACUGUUUGCUCAUCGCCAUGAAACCAAAACAUCUGAUAGUUAUUCCGUACAUAUUUACAUGCUCUUGAUUCCGUAAAAACGGUAUAAUGAAAGGAAUUUCUUAGUGUAUUUAUAUAAGUAUACUUAGUAAACAUGUGAAAACGUCCCGAUUUUUUUCCAUCCAAGGUUUAUAUAUUUUUUUUUUAUUUAUUUUAAAGAAGCACAUAUUCAUUUCAACAUUGUUUUAGCAUUUAUACUUUGCUGCAUUGUU